AACAGCCGCGGUAAUUCCAGCUCCAAUAGCGUAUAUUAAAGUUGUUGCAGUUAAAAAGCUCGUAGUUGAAUUUCGGGAUCAAUUCGUCGGUCGUGCUUUUUGGUACGUACUGGCGUUAUUGGUUUCUCCCUUCUGACGAGCCAUGGUGUCAUUAAUUUGGUGUUAUGGGGAGUUAGGACUGUUACUUUGAAAAAAUUAGAGUGUUUAAAGCAGGCAUUAGCUUGAAUACAUUAGCAUGGAAUAAUGAAAUAGGACGUUCGAUCCUAUUUUGUUGGUUUCUAGGAUCAACGUAAUGAUUAAUAGGGAUAGUUGGGGGCAUUAGUAUUCAAUUGCCAGAGGUGAAAUUCUUGGAUUUAUUGAAGACUAACUACUGCGAGAGCAUUUGCCAAGGAUGUUUUCAUUAAUCAAGAACGAAAGUUAGGGGAUCGAAGACGAUCAGAUACCGUCGUAGUCUUAACCAUAAACUAUGCCGACUAGGGAUCGGAUGAUGUUAACUUUUUAAUGACUCA
rnacentral:rRNA from 1 species